rnacentral:rRNA from 1 species
UACGUAGGGUGCGAGCGUUGUCCGGAAUUAUUGGGCGUAAAGAGCUCGUAGGCGGCUUGUUGCGUCGACUGUGAAAACCCGCGGCUUAACUGCGGGCUUGCAGUUGAUACGGGCAGGCUAGAGUUCGGUAGGGGAGACUGGAAUUCCUGGUGUAGCGGUGAAAUGCGCAGAUAUCAGGAGGAACACCAAUGGCGAAGGCAGCACUCUGGGACGUGACUGACGCUGAGACGCGAAAGCGUGGGGAGCAAACAGG